CAAUAGCGUAUAUUAAAGUUGUUGCGGUUAAAAAGCUCGUAGUUGGAUUUCUGCUGAGAACGACCGGUCCGCCCUUUGGGUGUGUAUCUGGCUCUUUCUUGGCAUCUUCUUGGUGAACGUUGCUGCACUUGACUGUGUGGAGCGCUACCCAGGACUUUUACUUUGAGGAAAUUAGAGUGUUUCAAGCAGGCAUACGCCUUGAAUACAUUAGCAUGGAAUAAUAAGAUAGGACCUCGGUUCUAUUUUGUUGGUUUCUAGAGCUGAGGUAAUGAUUAAUAGGGAUAGUUGGGGGCAUUCGUAUUUAACUGUCAGAGGUGAAAUUCUUGGAUCUGCUAAAGACGGACAACUGCGAAAGCGUUUGCCCAGGAUGUUUUCAUUGA
rnacentral:rRNA from 1 species